UGGGGAAUUUUCCGCAAUGGGCGCAAGCCUGACGGAGCAAUACCGCGUGAGGGAGGAAGGCUCUUGGGUCGUAAACCUCUUUUNUCAGGGAAGAACACAAUGACGGUACCUGAGGAAUAAGCAUCGGCUAACUCCGUGCCAGCAGCCGCGGUAAUACGGAGGAUGCAAGCGUUAUCCGGAAUGAUUGGGCGUAAAGCGUCCGUAGGUGGUUUUGUAAGUCUGUGGUUAAAGCGUGGAGCUCAACUCCAUAAGGGCCAUGGAAACUACAAGACUAGAGUGAAGUAGGGGUAGAGGGAAUUCCCAGUGUAGCGGUGAAAUGCGUAGAGAUUGGGAAGAACACCGGUGGCGAAAGCGCUCUACUGGACUUAGCUGACACUGAGGGACGAAAGCUAGGGGAGCGAAAGGGAUUAGAUACCCCUGUAGUC
rnacentral:rRNA from 1 species